rnacentral:rRNA from 1 species
AGUGAACGCUGGCGGUAGGCCUAACACAUGCAAGUCGAACGGCAGCACAGUAAGAGCUUGCUCUUACGGGUGGCGAGUGGCGGACGGGUGAGGAAUACAUCGGAAUCUACUUUUUCGUGGGGGAUAACGUAGGGAAACUUACGCUAAUACCGCAUACGACCUACGGGUGAAAGCAGGGGAUCUUCGGACCUUGCGCGAUUGAAUGAGCCGCUGUCGGAUUAGCUAGUUGGCGGGGUAAAGGCCCACCAAGGCGACGAUCCGUAGCUGGUCUGAGAGGAGGAUCAGCCACACUGGAACUGAGACACGGUCCAGACUCCUACGGGAGGCAGCAGUGGAGAAUAUUGGACAAUGGGCGCGAGCCUGAUCCAGCCAUACCGCGUGGGUGAAGAAGGCCUUCGGGUUGUAAAGCCCUUUUGUUGGGAAAGAAAAGCAGCAGGUUAAUACCCCGCUGUUCUGACGGUACCCAAAGAAUAAGCACCGGCUAACUUCGUG